ACCCAGCUGACGAGUCCUAGAAAGGACGAAACACGUGUCCUGGAU
rnacentral:hammerhead_ribozyme from 1 species